rnacentral:rRNA from 1 species
GACGAACGCUGGCGGCGUGCCUAAUACAUGCAAGUCGAACGCUUCUUUCCUCCCGAGUGCUUGCACUCGAUUGGAAAGAGGAGUGGCGGACGGGUGAGUAACACGUGGGUAACCUACCCAUCAGAGGGGGAUAACACUUGGAAACAGGUGCUAAUACCGCAUAACAGUUUAUGCCGCAUGGCAUAAGAGUGAAAGGCGCUUCCGGGUGUCGCUGAUGGAUGGACCCGCGGUGCAUUAGCUAGUUGGUGAGGUAACGGCUCACCAAGGCCACGAUGCAUAGCCGACCUGGGAGGGUGAUCGGCCACACUGGGACUGAGACACGGCCCAGACUCCUACGGGAGGCAGCAGUAGGGAAUCUUCGGCAAUGGACGAAAGUCUGACCGAGCAACGCCGCGUGAGUGAAGAAGGUUUUCGGAUCGUAAAACUCUGUUGUUAGAGAAGAACAAGGACGUUAGUAACUGAACGUCCCCUGACGGUAUCUAACCAGAAAGCCACGGCUAACUACGUGCCAGCCGCCGCAGUAA